rnacentral:tRNA from 1 species
AAUGAAGUGCCUGAAAAAAGGGUAAUUUUGAUAGAAUUAAUAAUGUGUAUAACACCUUCAUUAUUUCCCCCCAAAAAAAA